GUAAGAAGUGGGGCACAGCUGUGGGUGCUCAUGGGGAGGGGUGAGGUCAGGUCCUGCUCUGCCCGGCCAUCAGCAGGGGUGCCAUUGGGGUGCAGGUCUGUGUGGGGCGGGAUGGCUGUGGGCCCCACCUCUUCCCCCUCAGCUUGCUGGAGGGUGGGUGAGAAACCUUUCGUGGUUUCUCUUCCUUGUGGCCGUGCGAAGGUGGUCCAAGUCCAGACUUCUGUUGGGCAGCAGAGCAGGAGAGCUGCCCAAAUUCCAACCCAGAGAAUACAAAGGGCCCCAUGCAGUGCUGUGGCUCUGGGGAGAACGAGCUGUCUCGGAGUGGUGGGACGUGUCCAGGGGCCACGGCGGGCUGCAGCCCCUCACCUUGUGUCCCUCACAGCUGCCAUUCUCUGGGGCCUGCCCUAACCGCGGCCAGGGUGGGCGCCAAUGGCCAACGCUCACUAUGGGAGGAGCCCUUCCUGCUCCUCGCGUGGCUGUGCUAUUUGCACUGUGACCACCGCCCACCCCGGCGGUCCCACCAGGCCACCCAGAGGGCCCUGGGGACGCUGCCCCACGUGCACCCCGCUAGGAAGCCUCUAGAUCCUGGGCACCGUUUCCUCUGACGCGUUCCUUCCCCCCGUCCUCUCCUGGCCUUGCGAGUGUCUGCAGGGCACCGUGCAUGCACUUAAAGUGUGUUCCUGGGUGAGGCUGUGGUCACUGGAAGCCCUUCCCAAAGCGACCCCCACAAGGCCACGUUCCAGCCUCCGGGUUGGAGGGCUGCUUCUCACACGGGCAGCUGAGCCGGAGGUCCGCAUGGAGUUCCAGCAGAAGUCCCAGAGAGUGUCCCUACUGCCUUCCCUUCCGUUCCCACCGGGAACAGCAGCGCGUCCGGUGCCUCCAACAGCUCCAAGGAUGGCCUCCCUGACGCCCCCUGAGCGCAAGGAGUUGUGGCUCUGCCAGUGCCUUUGUGCCCUGCCCACAGGGGAGGGGGCUCGGGGGGUGGCACCUGCAGCCACGAGGACUCCAUCUCCUGGCCGAGCAGAGGUGGUGAGGAGGGGAGCUGCGGCCUGGCGUGCAGUGUGGCUGCAAUAUGGGUGGCACCGCGUGGGACAUCACCGGGCUGUCAGCUCAGCACGGGCACAUGGCUGUCCAAAGAGGUUCCAGGCACAGAUAAGACGUUCAGUUGGGAUUUGCGCCUCAGGGGACCAGCGGGGACAUUUAAGGGCAGCGUGCGCGGCCAUUAUUAGUGCUUUUGGCUGUCAGCUUCAGCGUGUCCUCACAGACUGCCUCAAUGGCACCGAGCUCAGUGAGGGCCGCUGGGCCCCGGUGCGGCCUACAGCCCUGCUCCCCAUGGGGUGCUGCCCUGAAGGGAGGCAGGGCGAGCAGAUCCAGGUGCCCUCGGGGGCUGGGAGCUACAGAGCAGCCCUGCCUGGGGGUCACACAGCCGUGGGAGGGGUCAGGUUCGGGUGGGGGUCCACACUUCCCCCACUUCCCAUAUCCCAGAGCUGGGUGUCACAGGCCUGGUGGGACUCGAUGCAGUCAUUUCCCUCUAUUAUUGGAGCUUUUUUAUCAGUGAGUUACGAGUCCUUUGCCACCGGCAGUGGCCUGAGCGCUAUACGAUGUACAAAGAAAAGGCAGCUCUGGUGCCAAAGUGCUUAUUGUUCAAAAUGCAGAUUUUUUUUUGUUUUUCUUUUUUUCCCUUCAAAGCAAACCAAUAGACGGAAAACCAGAUGAAAAAACAGUGGGAGCCCAGAGACGAGAGAGAAGGAUUUACUUUGUUAUUUAACCUGGGAUCUGCUGCGCUGUGCUCAGCAGCCUGCCCUAAGGAGCCUGCCUUGGGAGGGGUUGGGCUGGGGGAUCUGCAGAGCUUCCUUCCCACCCCUGAAAUCCUGUGAUUCCGUGGUUCUGUCUUCUCCAGGCACCCCUUGAAAUGGAGCCCUGGCAGAGAUCGUAGAUUGGUUUGAGUUGGACGGGACCCUGAAAAGCCAUCUGGUCCCACUCCCCUGCAAUGGGCAGGGUCACCCACAGCUCCUUCAGGAUGCUCAGAGCCUGGUCCAUUUCUGAGUGCUUCAUUGUUUUUAACGUGCCGCAGAAUUCUGUGUCGCCAACUCACGAGUGCAGAUGUUGUUGUGGACCGGCAGGAGCUAUUGGCAGUUGGGUCUUUUCCCACCUCCGAAGACAUGUGAAGCAAUUUGGAUCCAUGCGACGCUAGCUGAAUUGUGCUGUUAACAUGAUAAGUGGCGUUACAAGUGAGAGCAUUAGACAAAAAUUCACAUCUUUGGGAUCCUGAAUGUGUCUGUUAGCUGUAUGUCUCCAAAGAAAUUUUGUCACCCUGUCUGCAGGCUUUAAUAACACAACAGCAAAGUACUAGACUGUGUUUGGUUCAGGUUUGGGGCUACGGUUGCGUUCUUUUUCAUUGCUAUAAAAAUCCAGCAAAAUCUGGCCUUACCAUAAACCUGUGAGAAGUUGAGUGUGCACGUGUUCUGUAGAUACUCCCUAUGCAUUUGCAGAUAAACCCAUUGGAAACGCAACCAAGGUAUUUGAAACACACAGGCCUAUCAAUGCUGUGAAGCGCAGUGUUGCCACAAGAACCGGUGCCAUGGCAGAAGUCGAGAGGAAGCUGCUCAUUCCGGCAUGCCCAGCCUGCACGCCAUGCCAUCCUUCAGUCUUGGAGCUGCAUGUCAACCAGGAUGACAAAAGCAGUGAUGGAACGGCAGCUUGCUUGGGGGGCUGUGCAGGGGACCAUGGGCCCUCUGGAGAAAAACAGCAAGCGAGGAGGUCGUUAAUGCUGGGGGAGCAGUCUGCAACUGCGGCCCUGGUGCUGUCCUUCCCAGUGCCAGCAGUGAGAGCCAAGGCAGGAGGGAGCUGUGCCUGUGAGUCCCGAUGGUGAGAGCUCUGCGUGAACCACCUUGGAGCCCGGACAGCUGUUAUGAUAGACCUCUAUUCUGAGCUGUUUGUCUGGUGAGUCACUUUUAAAGGAACAAGGCUGAAACCACAUUGCUGCUAAUGACUCUUUCCACGGGUGUGGCUUCCCUUUGCUUGAGUACGCUUGAAGUCAUGCGCAGUGAGAGGUGUUUUCAGGGACCGGCUUAUUUUUGGCACUGAAUUUAGAACAGGGCCAUGUUCUGCCCAGAAGUUCACACCUUGCAACUGGCUCCCACCCACCCUUCACUUAUUUACCAUUCUGUUUUGAAAAUGGACCGAGGACUACAGACCACACAUGCCUAUGAGAUGCUGCACUUCAUUCAUGAUGGUACUUCAGAUACUGAGUGUUGAACCCCCAGAACAGGAGAGCAAGUCAGUAAUUUGCACCAGGUCAACUUGAUUAUUUUCUGAUUAUUUUCGUCCCGCUAAUCCUGUCGAUUAAAGAGAGGUGAUCCAGAGCUGUCAGUAAUCUUUGGGGAUGAAGCACGGGUGGAGCAAAGUUGAGCUUAGUGAAAUCUACCGGAUAGACCAAAACAGCACCAAACUGUUUGGUUCUCACCCCCACUGACUCUCUCUUAAAAAAUACAUGUAGGAAGAUUGAGCAUAGAAAACAUUUAUCAUUUCAGCGCAACUUCUCCUAUAUCUCUUUGUGCCUCCUUGUUAAAUAGUGCUUUGCUCUCUGGAAGCAAGGCGAAAAACAAGGGGACAGAAUAAAGUUGGGGUACUUGAAUUUGUGACUUAAUUACGUCGUCAUUACCAGAGCGGCUUCCCUAGAUGUGUGCAGGACUGUGUGAUACAUCCUGAGGAACGCGUCCCAGUCCUGUGAGGUACCUGGUGAAAUCAUUUCAAGUAUCUACUGCCGACUUUGCUGGGAAUAAAGAUGCCUUGGGAGACUCACUGCACCCAACCCAGCCACGGAAACAGCAAUUGUGCCUUCGCCUCUCUCUGUUCUCAAAUACAAGCAGUUUGUCACCAAAGUGGUGCUUGAAGUAACUUCACUAAUUUCAGUACGGUUUAACCGAGAGCAGGUUUCAUCUGUUGCCUCCGAAAUAUUAGUUUGUGGAUUCCUGUGGAAAGAUAAAACAGGAGGGAGAAAAAUAUUCUCCUUCACUUGUGUGAAUUCCUACUAAAACAUCAUUUACUUUCUUGUUCCCUAGUGGAAAAGCAUGCUUGAUUUCAAUUAAAAUGAAAUGUCAUCAUUUUGGGACGUGCUGCAUAGUUUUAACAAAUACGCCUUGUGUUCAUCCAUCAGGGAGAAGAUGUUGGAUUUGUAUAAAGGCCAACAGGCCAGAUCUGGAUCCUCAGCUCCGCAAGAGGUGUCAACAGCAGCUGUGACGAACUGUUCUCAGCAGGUCCCCUACCAAAGCACAGCUGACUGGAGACCUGUCUUCUGGAUGGCAGUCAGAUGAGAACUUCCAGUGUGAUGCUCCCAUCAUUGCCACUACCUCCUUCAAUUUGUCACUGGAACGUUUUAUUAGCUUACUCCUCCCUUUACUGCAGAGAUCAUUGAUGAAAUAAGCAGUAAGAUCAUUUCCAGCACUAACUCUUGCAGAUGUUGAAUUCACAGAAUCACAUACUGUCUGAGCCGGGAAGAGACCGCUGGGUCCUUCUGAUCCAACCCCCUCCCCAGGAUCGGACACCCAGAGCAGAGUGCCCAGGCCCCCGUCCAGCUGAGUUUUGAAGACGUCCAAGCAGGAAACCCCAACAUCUCUCUGGGAAACCAGUAACAGUGCUCUGGCACCAGCACAGUGAAGAAGUGCUUCAAGAAAUGUAGGAAGGAGAUCUUGGGUUCAGGUCCACGGCAGCACUAAGCCGUUGGUGAUGUGCCACGGCUACAUCUUCAGAGAGAUGGGAGAAGCGUCGCCAUUCGCACAGGAACAAAUAUGCUGACUCAGUAAUGGAAGAAUGCUAAAGAAAAUGUAUCCACUUGGAGAUCUUUUUUCUAUAUUCUUUCAUCCUAGAAUUUCAUGGAACGAGAAUAACAUAGUUACUUGUUUGUGUUGAAAUCAAACAUGCUUGUUCUUCACUUGCAAAAAUAGGAAACUUCUUUCAAAGUGACACUCUUCAUGAAAGAAUAGAAGUGUGCAGCUGCUGUAUGACUAAGUGAUUAAAAACCUGAUGGCUAAUUCAUUUUAGGUGAUAUGUUUGCACUCAAGGCCAAGUAUCAUAAAAAUAGCUGCUUCGCUUUUCUUUUUUAAUAUUAAGUAAAACACCAUAGAGUUUUCAGUAGGCUGGCAAGAUUUUCCAUAUCCAGUUUUGCCCAAUUGAAGUCAGGCUACCACAACUAGAAUUGUCUUCUCUCUAAUAUUUCCCUUUUACGCAGCCUUCACCCACGUAGUUUUUACUAGACAAAUGGUUUUAAACUACCUGAGGCCAAGGGGAAAGUUCACAACAUUUUAUAAAUCUUGCCUGGAAAAUGCCAAGAUAGAUGGCAUUUUCUUGGCUCGUACACUGUGUGUAGGGAAGUAGAGAGAGUUUAGAGAGUUUAUGAGACUUAAUAGUCUGCUCACCAAAGCGGUAGUAUUUAACUCAUUGAGUGCUAUUUGAGGACUCGACAUGGCUAGAGAAGAAUGUCAUAUUGUUGUUAAUAUUAUUAUUUGUUAUUUUUGUUAUUGAGCUUAGAUGCGUAGAAGACAACCAGAGAUGCUUGAUUUUGGGUUCAGUGUGCUGAUGUACGUUGCUUGUCCUUAUAAUCUAAUUAAAAGAUGAUGUAAAAAAUACGUGGGAAUGAGAACAGAAAGAGGAUGAAGAAGAAAAUAAUUGAAGUAAUACAUGGUGGUUGGAUUAGUUAUUUGCACAAUUAGCUAUUUGAAUUAGCUACUUGACAAGUGAUAUAGAAGAAAGAAUAAAGGGCUAUCUCUGUCAAAGACAGUUUUUAGUGAAGCUGCUACUGUAAGUGUAUUAUGAUUUAAAUAUAAAGAGCUUCAGGUUUCAGUUAAAUGGAUUUUGAUUCUGCUUAUUUUUCUAAUGCUAGAUUUGUUUCAUUUCUGUAUUAAGCUCCUCUUAUUAAACCAUGCAGUGUCUGAUGGAAAUUUCAACCUUUGUUUCAAGUGCAAUGCAGUUUCCUGGGAGCAGACUAAGGCAUAACCUAACGAUUUUUUUAAACACUUAUUUGUGCUCAACAAAGAGAUUGAACAUAAAAUCUCAGGAUUUAUUGAAAUACUCUGAGCCGGAGAAACAGGUAUACAAUUAUUUCUAGAUAUUGGAUUGCUUUUCAGCUGACAAACUCAUAACUUUGCUACUGCGUUCUUCUGACAUGCUCAACAGAGGUUUGAUUAUGUCUAUCCCCAUUUAGCUAGGUAGAGUGCCAUCUCCGCUGGGGGAAACAGAGAAAACAGCUACUUGAAAACAAGAAACUAUUAAUAUUUGAUCAAAAUUAAAUUGAUUGUAUGGGAUGAAUAUGAGGUAGGAAAUUGUAGUCAAAUUAAUUUUCACAGCAAAUUGGUCUCAAUUUUUUUGAGAAGGACCCAAAGUGAGUUAUGGACCCAACAGUCCAAUGCAGUCAGAUCCAGGAGACUGGAAUCUUCAAGUCCUUCACAUGGCAAGCCACCAGUCUGGAAUGUCUUACCUGACUGAUUUUCCAGAACCACUUCCUUCAAGCUGAAGAGCCAUCUCAACAUGUGGAAAGGCAAGCCUGAGUGGCAGGAGACCUGCAUGGCUGGGCAAUGAAUGGACGCAAACAUAAAAAGGAAGAGAGGAAAAGGUGGAAGCAGGGCACCCACAUCGUGACUUAAGGUCAUCAAGGGCUGUGAGAUUUGUAUGGAAUACAACAAAAAUAUCAAAUAAAAUUGAGGAACUUAUCU
ensembl:lncRNA